UACGGAGGGGCCAGCGUUGCUCGGAAUCACUGGGCGUAAAGGGCUCGUAGGCGGUUUGAUAAGUCCUGUGUGAAAUCCCUUGCUUACCAAGGAACUGCGCCGGAUACUGUCGAACUAGAGGCCGGGAGAGGGAAGCGGAAUUCCGAGUGUAGCGGUGAAAUGCGUAGAUAUUCGGAGGAACACCGGUGGCGAAGGCGGCUCCUGGACCGGUUC
rnacentral:rRNA from 1 species